AACCAUAGAAACCUGCGGAGUACCUGCGGAGGGAUCAUUACCGAGUUUACAACUCCCAAACCCCUGUGAACAUACCUAUACGUUGCCUCGGCGGAUCAGCCCGCGCCCUGUAAAAAGGGACGGCCCGCCCGAGGACCCCUAAACUCUGUUUUUAGUGGAACUUCUGAGUAAAACAAACAAAUAAAUCAAAACUUUUAACAAUGGAUCU
rnacentral:misc_RNA from 1 species